rnacentral:lncRNA from 1 species
UGAUGGGAAUUCCUGGUCCAUGUUCUGAUUGGUCAACUUGAGUUUAUGAUCUUACCCAAUGGUUGACAAGCCUCUCCAGCAGCAGAUGGCAUGGAGGAGGGGAGAGUCCGAAAGGGAGGACCCAAGAAAGAGCAAGAAUAUAUAAGCUCUUGUGACCAGAGAGACUGACCUGUUUUGGAGCAACCGUGGUUCCCCCCCCCCCCCUAAUUAGCUGUUGGAAUUGGUUAAUCAACAUAUCCCAGGAGUUCCAGAUAUUUGUUUUGCGUCAAAGCUACAGACUUUUUAAGACUUCCAGAGAAACAGUGGGUGUUCAGCCUUCCUGGCUUUGACCAUAAUUAGAAAUUGACCAGUGGAAGCCCAUUAAAAUGACUUAAAUUUGUCAUGGAAUUAUUAAAUGAAAGAGGAUUAUCCAAUUCAAAACUGUUUAAUCUAUCUAGACUAAACCUUCUUAAUAUCCACCACCACCAUCACACACACACUCCCUUAGUUCUUUGGGAUAGGGACUGAAGGCCAUAUACUUUAGCUUCUGUGAUGGUCCAGUUGUUGCCUUGAAAGUAUGGAUACCCUGUGUCUCCCUGGAAGCCUAGGCAUCACCAUAGAUUAAGUCCUUCCUAGAGUUAUUAUCCAGAGUCUGCAGCCCAAGACUUGACCUUCAAGUGUUCAGAGAGCAGAUGGGUAGCAGCCACCACUGAAGUGGAAGCAAGUACCACUGAACUAUGGAACCUUAAGAUUUAUAUACCCUAUGGGGAAGCUCCCUCUCUGGAACUGGUUUCCCUGUGGGUACUGUCUCUUGCUCUAUGCAAAUCAGUGAAGCCAAAAUUGUCGACCCUUUAAAUGAUUAGUAUAUAUGCUAGCUCUGCUACCUAAACUAUUUGACUGUAGGUUUUAUGGAUCAGGCAGCCCUAUUAUAUUGAAGCUAAUAAGAGAGUACCCCUUACUUGGCCAUAGGCAGCCUUGAGUGCUGAUGUUAGUAUGAUGCUGUGGGCAGAACUGGAACGAAGGUUAUUGUCCAUAUACUCACAGCUACAAUUUGCUUUCUAUGAAAUUAAGCUUUGGGUAAGUUAAGCUUCUUCUCUGACAGACUCUUGAAUUUGGAAAGGAAUAAAGAUGGUAGAGAACAAGGAACAGAGAGCAAAACACAGGCACACAGUGACCCUGGCUUAAUGAGCUGCUCAGAUGCCCCUCAGGGGAUCAGAAGAAAACUGGAACACAAAGAUUUCCUACACUGAGUUCAUCGUGGGGCAUUUCUAGUUCUAGACCACAGAGAGGCAUGGCCCUCACUGUCUACUUCUCUGCUGGUUUUGAUUUGAAUUUCUUUCUUACAUCUUUCUUCCUUCCUUCCUUCCUUCCUUCCUUCCUUCCUCCCUCCCUCCCUUCUUCCCUCCCUCCCUCUCUCUCUCUUUCUUUCUUGUCUUUUGGUUUUUCAGGGCCACAUCUGGGGCAUAUGGAGGUUCCCAGGCUAGGGGUCUAAUCAGAGCUGUAGCUGCCGGCCUACACCACAGCCACAGCAACGCAGGAUCUGAGCCAUGUCUGUGACCUACUCCACGGCUCACGGCAAUGCUGGAUCCUUAACCCACUGAGUAAGGCCAGGGAUCGAACCUGUGUCCUCAUGGAUAAUAGUCAGGUUAAUUAACCACUGACCCAUGAUGGGAAAUCCUGAUUUGAAUUUCUUCACCUCUGUUUGAAUUUUAAAAGCCUCCAUCAUAUCAGGUAGACAACCAAAGAGCCAGAAAUCAGCCAUCCUGUUGCACAAGGAAGGCUGAGGCGUCACCAAUGAAGUAAUUCCUGAAGAACCGCACAUCUUCAGCACACCUACCUAUGUUGGAGUGUUCCAAAAAGCAGUAAAUUAUAAUUUAUAACACCCUCUACAAGCAUAUUUCACUUUAUUGGCUAAACAUAAAUGGGCAACUGCAGGCUUCUUCAGGAAGGUCCACGCUGCAUCUCUUCAUCUUCCCUGGACAUGGUUGUGUCCCCACUCCUUUUGUCUCUACCAUCCCCAGAAACAGCCCUUAUGGCACCAGCCAUAUGAGUCCUGGGGCCCAAGGAGGACUGGUUCUGUCGACUGUCAACAUGAUGCUUUAUCUCAUUCUAUAGAUAACACACAUUCCUUAAUGUUAAGCUCCCAGUUAAGCAAAGAGAAGGGCUGUGUCUCAGACGAUCUUUCAGGGAUGGCUAAAAUUCCAAGUCCCCAGAAAUGAGGCAGAGCAGAAAAAUCAGCAUUUCCCAUGAGAAAACACGGCUACACAGUGAAGGGAAAAAGCUCUCAGUUUUGGUGGCUGUACCUCUCCUGUAACCUCUUGAAAAGCACCUUCUUUGUCAUUCACGCUUCAGCUUUCCAGAUUUACCUUUAGGAAAGUUCAUCUCCACAAUCACCCCUUUCUCUACGUGGCACAGCACCUGCUUCAUUGUGUGGUCCCCCAUCAAACUUUGAGGACAUUGUGAGCAGCAAUUUUGUCUUAUUUAUCUUUGGAUUCCAGAGUCUAAGACAUAGCAGACCCUCCAUAAACAUGUUCAAAGUGAAUGAAUGAAUGAAUGCAUAAAUUGGAGUUCCCGUCAUGGCUCAGAGGUUAAUGAACCCAACUAGUAUCCUAAGGACACGGGUUCGAUCCCUGGCCUUGCUCAGUGGGUUAAGGAUCUGGCGUUACUGUGAGCUGAAGUGUAGGUCACAGAUGCAGCUGGUAUGCUGUGGUGCAGCAGGCAGCUGUAGCUCUGAUUCAAUCCCAUGGCCAGGGAACUUCCAUAUGCCAUGGGUGUAGCUCUAAAAAGAAAAAAAAUAGUUUUAUGGUCCCAAAGCCCUCCCAGUAUACAGUUAAUUUCUCAGAGUAUUGCUUUUCUAAUGUUUCAUCUGAACAUCUGUUGGCAAGACUUGAAAGAGGAUGGGAGAAGUGAAGAUGGGAAAGAGUAAUGGUAAGAAGCAGGACCGCUUUUCACUUCUUGCAAGUGUGUUUUAAAAUUCAAAUCUUGAACGGAGCUGAAAGGAGAGUUAGUCAUUGAAGUACAUGCAGCCGCUCUUACCAGGUAUUUAAUUCUAUUCAGUGGUCAGGAAAGCCAAGUUUUCUAAAGAAAUGAAAAUACUCUGAUGGAGGAAUGUGGGAGUAAAAGUGAUUCAAAAUAUUUUCUCUGGAGUUCCUGCUGUGGUGCAGUGGGUUAAGAAUCUGACUGCAGUGGCUUAGGUCCCUGCAGAGGCGUGGGGUUCCAUCCCUGUCCCAGCACAAUGGGUUAAAGGAUCCAGAGUUGCCACAACUGUGGCUUGGAUUCAGUCCCUGGCCCAGGAACUUCCAUAUGCCACAGGUGUGACCUUAAAAAAUUUUUUUCUCCUCUUAUCCAAAAAACCAUUUACUAUAAGAAAAAAAAUUAUUGCAUAAGAAGCAAAAAUGCCUUUAAUUUAAAACUAGUUAGCUUGUACCCUUAUUCCUUACUCUAUACCACUGCCACCUCCAUUAAAAUUUUUUUUAAAAACUUGAAAUAGAUUUUUAAAGCACGUCACUCCAUUUUACUGAUUAAUUGAUCAUUUUUAACAUAAAUUAAUAUUUGAGGGUUCCACUGCACUACUUGAGAAUUUAAGUCUCAAGAGUGUGAGCCUAAAGUUUGAGGAAUAAGAAGACCUAGUGUAGACAAAACAAGUUCCUGAUACUGCUGCCACUUCUCUCUCUACACCCAGGGCAGACAUCUCUAAUUGAUCACAUCAUUGAAUUUAAAGGAGGACUCAGAACAUUCUCAACACAUGGAUUUAAGUAAACACUACUAAUCUGCUAGAAUAUCAUAGCAGACACAUCGUCCUGCCAUUCCUUGGAGUAAAACACAUGUUGACUUAGAAACUGCAGUAUUACAUUCUAGUCCCAACUUUUUGUCUAAUAGUUGUAUGAUUAGCGACAAGUAAUUUAUCUUAUCUGGCAUUAUUGUUUCCAGACAUAAAAUGGAAUUUAUAACAUUUGCACCAAGAUUGAUUUGGGGAAUAGAUAUGGCCAGCAGGCACAUGAGAAAAUGCUCAAAAUCACUAAUUAUUAGAGAAAUGCAAAUCAAAACUACAGUGAGGUAGUUUUAAUCUCAUACCAGUUAGAGUGUCCAUUAUUAACAAGUCAACAAACAACAAACACUGGAGAGGAUGUAGAGAAAAGGGAACCCUCCUUCACUGUUGGUGGGAAUGUAAAUUGGUAUAAUCACUAUGGAAAACAUUAUGGAGUUACCUCGGAAACCUAAUAUAGAACUACCAUAUGAUUGGCAAUUCCACUCCUGGGCAUAUAGCUGGACAAAAUAUUCAUUGAAAAACAUACAUGCACCCAUAUGUUCAUCGUAGCACUAUUCACAAUAGCCAAGACAUGGAAACAACCCAAAUGCCCACUGAUAGAUGAAUGGAUUAAGAUGUGGUACAUAUACACAAUGGAAUAUUAUUCAGCCAUAAAAAGGACAAAAUAAUGCCAUUUGUAACAACAUGGAUGGAACUAAAGAUUCUCAUACCAUGUGAAGUAAGUCAGAAAGAGAAAGACAAAUACCAUAUGAUAUUACUUACCAGUGGAGUCUAAAAUAUGGCACAAAUGAUCUACAAAGCAGAAACAGAUCAGGGAUAUGGAGGGCUGACUUGUGUUUGUCGGGGGUGGGGAGAGGGGGAGGGAGGGAGAUGGACGGGGAGUUUGGGGUAGGUGGGUGCAGAAUGUUACAGUUAGAACUGAUGGGUGAUGACGUCCUGCUGUAUAGCACAGGGAACAGUGUCUGGUCUCUUGGAUUAGAAAUAGUG